rnacentral:misc_RNA from 1 species
GUAGGUGAACCUGCGGAAGGAUCAUUACCAAAAAGGAUACCCUCACCGGUAUACCCCACCCGUGUCUAUCUACUCUUGUUGCUUUGGCAGGCCGUGGUCUUCCACUGUGGGCUCUGCCUGCAUGUGCCUGCCAGAGGACCAAACUCUGAAUUUUAGUGAUGUCUGAGUACUAUAUAAUAGUUAAAACUUUCAACAACGGAUCUCUUGGUUCCG